UUAAUAUAAUGUAAUUAUAUAUUAUUUUAUUAAUAUUUUAUUUUAUGUUAUUAAUAUUUUUAUUUUAUUCCGAAUUUUAUUUUUUUUGUUCUCAAAUUUUUAACGUCAAUUUUUUUAAAUUCGAAAUUCUUUCUUUCCUACGAAUAUAAAUUAAGUUUAAAUUAAAUUAUGUUUUGGUAAAUUUCGAUUAUUGCUACUAAUCAUAUUUCGAAAUCUAAAAAACACGAAAUCUAAAAAUCCAAUAUUUAUUCUCAAAUCAUAGUCUAAAUCUACACAACCAACUUAAAAAAUCCUAAAAAAUAAUAUCAAUUUCAAUCAUAAAUCUUACAAAUGCUUAACUAUUUCAAAAAUCAAAAUGUAAUGCCAAAUCUCUAGCCAUAAUCAUGAAGAUAACUGGAAAUUAUAACAUGCAACUCAAACUAAUCAAACAACAAAUUACAAAUCAAGGCCUUAUACAUACACACACACACACACACUAAUAUCUUUAGGGAAAAUAAAGGUAGUACCUUCAAAUUUAAUGCUAACUAGGGCGACCUUCUCCCUCUUUUCUCCCUUCGUUUUCUCCCUUUGCUGCUGCUGUGUUUGUGUGUGUAAUUGUGUGUGAUUCAUGGGCUGAGGCGAGUUAAAAUUGGGGAGGGGAUACACACGUGGUCGCCCGUGAUAGGGUCGACCACGUCACAGCUGGGAUGCAGGGGUCGCCCGCGUAUAGGGCGACAUGUACAUGGCUCGAAAACAAUGAGGGUCGCCCGGGGUUGUGGCGACCUUAAGUGUGGGGAAGCUCAAGCUCGGGUCACCCGAGUUUAAAAGAAUUAGGCUGGUUAGUUUUGAAAAGUCGAACGGAGGUUGGUUAGGUUUGAAAACUUUGUGUUCAAACUAGUUAGUUUGGUAUGGGAGCCCCUGGGGUCUGUUUGGUUUGUUGUAUUCGGGCUUUGGAUCAAACAGCUGAUUUAUCUCUUAAUAAAGUGAGCUGGGAUGAAGUCAUCAAGAUGGGUGAACAAGUUUCGAAACAGGCCACUUUGGGUAUUCUAUUUUUUACUCUGCUUUACUUUUUCAAUGUGAAUUGUAUCGCCUGCAAGUUUUUUAUUAUCGUAAUUUUGUGUGGUAGUCUUAUUAGUUUUUUUCCGUGAAUCUGUUUUUUGGGGCUUUGUGUUAGUUGGAGUCUUGCUUUCGUGAUUAAUUUGGAUAUAUGAGUGGAAACUCUUUCGGGGUUUUCUUGAUAACAAUGGUUAAGCUGAAAAUGAUGCCUUUUUAUCUGAUUAUAAUUCAAGUGGGUUGUGGUAUUAAGAAUUUUGAUUUUUUUUAGUACCUUUUAUAAAUUUAUAAGAUUUGUUAAGCAGCUUUCCCAAUACCUUACUGUAUUUAAAAGAUGUCAAUCCAACACAUUAUCGAAUAUUAGUUUAAGAGAUGCUGUCCGCAGAUCAUAGUGUAAUCAAAGUUGCACGGAUCGCGGGUCGAUCGGGAACGUGGUACGAGUACGGGUACGUGAGACGUUACCUUGAGUGAAUCGGGUACAAUGAGGAGUGAAUCGGGUUCGUGGAUCGGUAGGGGGAUCCCUUUUUAAUCAUAAAUAUUUUGUAAAAAUUAUAUAUAUUUCAGCAAUCAUUUAGAUUCAUAGUUUAAUACAACAAUUAUGUCUAUGCUAGUAUUUAGUUUAUUAAUGCAUUACAUGAAAUGUAAAACUUCUGAGGAAUAUUAAUACUACAAGUUGCAGGUCUAAGUUUCAGCUUCAGCAUGUGCUCUUAGUCUUGUUCUCUUGUUACUACUUACUAAUGUACUAAAAUAUACAUACUGGCAAAGGCAAACAUAUGGAAAAGGCAAAGGCAAACAAAAUUUUAACACCAGAAUGAGCCGAUGAUAUAAUAAAGGGUACUGAGUCCAAACUAAAAUACUUAAAAAUUCAGAGUUGACAACAUUAUCAAUCAAUUAAACGAUCCAAACAAAAACAAAGAUAAUAAGAAAGAUGUCCCAGAAACAUUGAAUUUGAAAUAAACUUCAAUUUACUCCCAGUUUUGAUCUUCAAGUCGGAUGGCAGACUCUUCCAAGUAGGUGUUCUCUGGAUUGACAUCCCAUUUCCUUGAUGGCCCCUUUUUAUAGCUUUCGGAACAACGAGAUAGAAGACGGACAUUGGAAUGAAUAAAUACCAGUUUAUUAGCCCUUGUAGCAUUGAGCUGAUUCCGUUUUGCAUUGUGAAUAUAUGAAUACGUACUCCAUGCUCUUUCCGCUGAUGAACUACUGAUUUGUUGUGCCAAAACCUUGAGUGCAAUAUCAGCCAAUUCCGGAGUUUCUAAACCAUAUGUUGACCACCACGAAAUUGGACUCAUGGACAUUGCAUCAACUCUCGCAGCCGGUGAUCUAAAAAUUCCUUCUUUCACUUGGAAUCUCGAGAGUUGUCUACGCAAAAGUGUUGUUUCAGUAGCAUCUUCACCAAUUCUUUCUAAGGCUGCCAUUACCCCGUUAACAACUUCUAAAUCAUGAUUUGGAGGACGCCUAGGCAUACCACCCGGAGCUUCCAUUCUCAAGUAAUUUGCAUCAUUAUAAUGGGGAUUAAGUGAAAAACCCAAGCAAUGCAUAUGAAUAUUCAUUUUCUCCCUACGAUUAACUAAAAUUCUUGCAUUUGAAUAUGAUCAUUGGCAUGCUCUCCAUUUUUCAUGGCAUCACUUAUUGCUCCUAAAAUGCAAUCCAUCCUCUCAUAAAUCUCUCCAUUUUUGGUCCUUCACCAUCUAGAAAAUUUAACCAUUAAAUAUAUUGGCUUUGUUAUGGCUAGUAUAUUAUUUACCUCUUCCCAAAAAUGUUCAUCUCUAAUUGUUGCAACAAUCUCUUCGGCAAGCAUCCUUACUCCUACUUCACUUUUUUUAACCCACUCCUUCCAAACAGUUAACACCACAGUAGUAGCAAGAGCCUCCCUAUUCUUGUUUACUCUUCUUAGUAAAGUAAUAAAUAGUACUUUCUACUUAAGUAAAUGAUUUUUUUUUUAAAUUAAAGAAGGUGAAAUAACAAAAAAUACGGAUAUUUUUUAGCAUUGACCACAAAUCGCGAAAUUCUCGUUUCUCAAUAAUUAUCCAAGCCCUAGCUACUUCCGCCCCGAAAAUAAUACACACACAUCUGUCUCUAUUUAUUCAUCUUCUUCUUCACUCAUCUCUCUCGCACUUUGGAAGAGCAGGACCUCCCGAUAUCAAGGACACCUACUCUCUCCUUGUGCUCAAUAUCACUUUCUGUACGUCUCUCUGUAGGAGCCCUAAUUGUUUGCCCAAUUGUGUGUUUUCACGCGAUUGAAUUUGAUUGGUUGUGUUUUGGUUUGUUUUUUUAGGUACUAGUGCUGAUGAUUUGUUCCCUUUGUUUGAUAAGUAUGGGAAGGUUGUUGAUGUUUUCAUUCCUCGUGACCGGAGGUCCCCUCCCCCUCCCUCCCUCCCUCCCUCCCUUUAUUCUCCUUGUAUGGUUAUCUAUGUAAGAUUAAUUGCUUGUUGUUGUGUGUAAUUGCAUAUAGAUUAAACUUUUUAGGACUGGUUAUUUUGUAUACAUGUGUGUGAAUUGCUUGUUAUGUGUGUUUUAUGUUAAUUGAACUUUAGGACUGGGGAUUCACGUGGAUUUGCAUUUUGUACAUUAUAAGUAUGCUGAUGAGGCACAUAAGGCUGUCGAAAGGCUUGAUGGUAAGUUUCACGGGGAUUUGCAUUUUGUUUCUUUGCUUUGGUGAUUACAUGUUAUUGUUGUCUGGAUGUGGUUUCUUAUGAUGGUCCAGUUUGCUAAGUAUGGGCCUAAUGCUGAAAGAAUGUAGAUUGAUUUUUUGUAAUUGUUAGUAUAGAUAUGUGCAAUAUAUUGUUUAUAAUGAGAAGUUGUGUCCAUUUUUUUGGGAGUUCACACACAGAAAAAGCUGUUCUUUAUGUUAUAGAAAGGCUGUGUAGAAGGUACUGAAAUGUAUAUGUUAUCUAGCUUAGCUCUAUAUCUUUUGCUAUCGCGUUCUCGAAAAACAAAAAAUUGUUAUAUAAGAAGUAUGCUUAUUAGGUUUGUUUAGCAGUUAUCAAGAGAAUUGGCCUUUUUGGGACAUAUUGGAGGUACCCUAAAACAAUGGCCUUUUUAGCGCUAAUAAAUGUUAUAUAUACAUAUAUUAAACGUGUGGUAUGAAAACACAUUAUAUUAAUGCGUCUUAAGUGCCAUAAAGGGCCCUUUUAAAGGCCCAUUUUCUGGGCUAUUUUUUGGGCAAUUUCAUCUCAAUUUGUGCUAAAAAGAGCUAGCACCCGGUUAUUAACCUGUCAUGUCGAUACUUUCACUUUCAUGAACCGUAAAGAAACAUGACAUGUAUGCAAAGGGUAGGGCACUACUUUUUUUAUUGUGUCAAUAUUUUUUAGAUGCUACUGUGAGCAUUAAUCUUUAAGCAUCCAUUAUGUUGUUCAUAAAUUGAAAAUUGCACAUUUUGAGGCUAAAUUGCAGGGUAUGAGUAAGUUAUAAAUAUGUAUCAGACUGUCUAUGUUCUUUUGUCUUUUCCAUUAAGCUAUUAAGGGUCUUUGUUAAUUUGCAUUCUGUGAAAGGAUCUACAAGAGUAAUUUAAAUAAAUCAUGGAUCGAAUAUAAUCGAUAAGUUAAUAAAAUAUUUUUUAAAAAUUAAUUGAAAAUUAACAAAAUCAAAGAUAUUUAGAGUAGAGCCUAAAUUAAUUAAAUUUGAUCACAAAUAUUUUAAUUAUAAAGCUUCAUAUUUAAUCAUGUUAGACAUGGAUACUUUUAAUUAUAAAUAAAACACGUAUAAACAUUAUUAUUCAAACUCUAAAAAGGUAUUAUCAUUAAAACAAAUUUCUCGUAUUCGUUCUUUAUAAAUAUUUCGAUUACUUGAUUUUUAAAAAUUUAUUUAACAUGUCUGGUAAAAAAAACUAUUAACACGAACAUAUAUAUUAAUCAGUAAAUUAUGUUUUGAUCAAUUUUCAAAUUAAAUUAAUAUUAAAAUACAGCAGGAAAAUAAAUAUCAUUAGUAAAUAUUAGCCCACGUCAUCCGGGUUUAUCGGACCCGUAUUAAGUAUUAAAACUGCCCUGCACAAAACCCAUCUUUCUUUCUUCUCUAAAACCCUAAUUAAUAAUUACACUUCCAAAGUUCCAAGCUUUACAAAAAUGGGAAAAACUAGCACACUGUAAGAUCCACAUUACAAAGCUUCUAUUACAUACUCGUAUCAUUUAUAUGUGUUAAUGUGUAUUCUACAUGCUCAAUUUGCUGUUAAUUUUAUAAAUUUAUUAACUUUUUUUUGUGUUGAAUUUCAGAGGAAAAGAAUCAAGUCGUGCUGACCAGAAGUUUGAAAAGAAGCUCCAAUUCUACGCUAGUAAGUUAUUUUCUGUGUUUAUUAUAAUGGGUUUAUGUUUUUUGUGUAUAGCUAUGAUGGUUUUAAUCAAGUUUUGUUUUUGGUGCUUAUUGGUAGUGAUGGUAGAUGUAAUGUGCUUAGAGUUUGGUUAUAAGUUUGAAAAUUUGUUCGUAAAUGAAUCGAAGUGCUAAUGUAUUUAUAUUGUUUGUUCCAAUGUAUUCUUGCAGAGAUUAGGGAUAAAGUUUCUUCGUUAGGUGCUCAGAAGGCCAUCGUCAAGGUAUGAUUUUUCAUUCGUGUUUCUUUUUUAGGCUGAUUAAAGAUAUUUAGGUUGCUUUUGAUAAUGUGUUGAGUGUUUGCUGGAAGUGUACUUUGUGAGACUAAUUUGUUGUACUAAAAAAAUUCAGGAUGACACACGUUUUGUUUGUUUUUUGCAACGUUCUAAGUUGUGAGUGGUAUUUAUUGGGUUUGUUGAUGAUUUUUAUGUUAUAUUUAAAAAUAUUUUAAAUGGAUACCAGGAGGAUGAUGUGGAAAAUAUUAUUAGUGGACUAAAUGCUGCUUGAUCAGUGUAACUUGAAGGAUGAAUCAUUUCUUACAACUUAUGAGUUAUGUCAGUUUGCUGCUGCGUCCUUUUUUGUUUUAUAAGAUUAAAAAUUUGAACUCAUAUAAGAAUUUGAGAACUUUAAUUAAGCAGUAGUGCUUUGAAAAUCUUGGGCCUUGCUGUGCAGCUUCUUGUUUUCAUCUACGACUGCAUAAUAGGCUUUUACUGCAUUCUCUAAUACUUCAAUAUUUGCCCUUAAUCAUUAUUUAAAAUAAUUAUUGAGUGGAUAUAUGUAAGUUUGUUACAUUCAGAAAUUAUUGACCAACUCUCUAGUAUAGUUCGUUUGAGAAGAAGAUUUCAGCUCUUAAAGAUUCUGUGACUACAUUUAGCAUACAACAUAGUAACCGACAUGCUCUGCUGAAAUUCGAUAAUUGUUAUGCAUAUGUUUUCUUGCUAGUUAACUGCUCGCUUCUGUAUUCAGUGCAGGCUUCUAGAUCUUUAAGUCUCUUUUUGAAUAUGCCAACUUCCAUACAACCUCUUUCUAUAGACUCCCUUGGCUUUAGUUUUCAUUUGUAAGCUGUAAAGCACUAAAGCUAAUAAAUUUAUUUUUUAAUUAUUUAAAAAUCUUGCUUCAAAGGCAUAUUAUUUGUAUUCUUGACUUGUGAUCCACAUAAUUUUUCUGGAGUGCUCUGUUAGUUUCUGUUCUUAUUUAUAAGCAAACCUGCUCAUUAUUUUUUGGAGCUGUUCCCAGUUCCCGCGUCAGAUAAGCAAUUUCAUGGUGGCUGAUAUACUUUUGUUUUGUUCACCUCUCCAUAUCCUUCUCCCGACCUUCCUUCUUUCGUCCACCUAAUAUAUCAGUGAUAAAAAAGUAUCAGGGUGACAGGGAAUCUUAGAAACAUAUAAAAACAAAAAUGACAGUAGUUUAUAAAGCGUACAACAUCAGGAAAAUUGCAAUUGUACUUUGUAAAUGCACUUUCUAAUCCGUUCAAAACCAAACAACUAAAGGAACUUAGAAGAACAAUAAUAAUAGGUUUGUUGCCUUUAUGAACUAGAGCUUGUUCAUUACAAACUGUAAAAAGACUAUAAUAUUUGGUUGAUGGCCUGUCAACAGUUAGAGAUAUAUUGUUUAAGAGUAAGUAAGAGCCCAUGUUCUAGUUAAGUUUACCUGUGCCUCGUGGCUGUUACUUCUUACUAGGGAUUUAAGAACUCAGGUUCAUGACUGGUAAUUUUCCUCACAGGCCCUGAGUAGGUUAUUUCACUGCUGGCUGAAAAUAUAAUAAAGUAUUUAAACCUCUUUAGAUAAGAAUUAUGAUUGACAAAAAUAAUAGCAUUACAACUCUUAAGUGCUCUGCUUGAGUGGAGGUACACAGCUGUAUCUUUGGAUGGCUUUGCUUUAUCGGCAUGCCACAUGCUGAGGGAAAAAACUGAUUUUAGAAUGUAGUACAGACAGUUUAGAAAUUAAUAUGAAGGAAAACAUGAUUCAGGUGUCAUGAUUAGGUUCACAAAAAUCAUACCCUAGGCGUUUCAGUGUUCUUCCUUUGAUGCUUUCAUCUAAAAUUCCAUUCACAGGGUGUAAUACUUACUGCGCUGGGGAAUUCUGUAAAGGUACUACCAGAACAAUCAUAUUAGAAUAAAUCUGGAAACCAUAAAAUAUAAAUAAAUAUACAACAGAUUUUACAUGUUAGGUGAAUUGCCAAAAACAAGAAAUUUCUUAGUUAACAUACAUCCAAUGUACUUGAUUUAAUCAUUUCUAAAAGAUUUCCAGGAAGAAGAAAGUACUCAUGUCUGUGUUUAAACACUUCAUGAAACUCAGUAUGAUGUGGUAAUGUGGUUGAGGGCACUAAAUGAUAGGGGAAUAGCACGAAUGAGAAAUACGAAGACUUUCUAAGACUUCCAAGUAUUGUUUAAAUUACUAAUAGAACAAGAUAUAACAAACCAUUAGGUUACAAUGGCUUUCUGUGAUAAAUGAUAUUUUUCGAUAUAAAUUGUAUGAUUUCAUAUACAAAUCAACCAGCCUGGUGUUUAUAAAAGUCACACAGAAAUUGCUGGUAAUUUGCUAGCAUUACUUCCAUGUUCUAUAUAAUGUUAUGUUAAAACACAGUAUUGUGCGAUCACAGUAAGAGAGUUUUUUCAUUACUUUGGCUGAAUAAAUGGUUAAAUUUCAAGAUAACCACACUUUUAUUGGUAGAAACGAUGUCACAGACAUAUAUACAUGUGUUUGUACAUAUGGGGGGAGAGAGAGAGAUCGCGUGGCAUGUUAAAUUAAGCUCAGCAUGUUAAAAUUAUGAGUUGUAUGCACCUUUCAGUUUCUGUUCUCCCAGUAUUUUACAUGUGAGAGAGUUUUUGCUUCACCAAAGAGACCGUUGCAAUAAAAGGAACGGUACUGCUGAAUCUUUCUGCAGUAAGACCAUAGGACAUACAUAUAAAAAGGAAAAAUAUAACUCUUAAUAAAAUAGUGUUUUAGCAGUCUUACUUUGUGUUUUUGUUGGGGAAGGGACAAAGUGAUGUUACUUAUGUUUCAUCCCACUGUGCUUAAAAAAUCAUAAUAUUCCCCACAACAGCAAAAAUAAUCUAAGAUAGAAGUAUGAUUCAUUUCUAGAGUUGGUAGUUAUAGUAUCGUUUAUAUUUGCUAGCACUGUUGGAUAUUAAUCAACUACUGAUUGCUCUUGGUUCAGGUUUCUGUGAAUGUAAUGGCGCUUUUUUCUCCUGUCAGUUGACCUUUAUGUUGGUCAACUGACUAAUGGUCAACUGACAAGAGAAAAAGGAAAAGGAAAAGUACUCGUGAAAAAAAUUGGUUCUAUCUUUUUAUUAAACUAUGUUGCAGAUACAGUUUAGUAAUUUGCAGAUACAGUUUAGUAAUUUAUGCUCAGUGAGUAUGUUCAAAGCAUUCAUGAGAAGGAUAUUAAAGUGAUUUAUAUUCUAAAGAUACACAUCUUAUUCUUUCAGAAAAAGAAACUUCGAAGUCGACAGAGGAAGCUCAAAGCUUAUGAUCUCUCUGCUCUCUCUGAGUUCCUUCCUGACGAAAAGAAGGAAACAAAGCUACAAACUGCUGUCGAUUUUAAGCUAACGUGUAAAUCCAGGCAAACCCUAGUGUAAGCGAGACAAUGUCUGAAUAUUAUUCUGGUCAAGUCUUUUUAGAUUAUUUCCACAGUUCAUAUCAUUCUUUUCCAAUUUGAAAUGUAAUGUCGGGUCAAUUUUAUCAGACUGAAGGAGGGGAAACAACUGAACAAUGUUCUAAAUCAUCCUGCUGUCAAAGCGGAUCCAUUAGGUGCUAUCCAUCAACAUUUGCAGAACACACAGCCUCUUACAGAUGUGAAACAAAUUAAGAAGCCCAAGAAAGUUGGAAAGAAGAAAGCGAAAGGGAAAAAGUCUAAAGCUUCAUCUGCACCUCAAUCGAUGGACAUGUAAUGUAGGUUUCUAUACGUGAUAUAUAUAAGCCUCUUUUGUGUCUUGUUUUGCUAAGCUCUAUCUCUUACCAUUCUAUUGUGGUAUUCGGCUCAUUUUUGUCUAGCAGUUAUAUUUAUGGAUGUGAAUUAUUGUAAAUGGCCACCACUUUUGGUGGAUUUGCAUCUUGCAAUGAAUCAAUGUGUUUGUUUUGCUUCGUCGAGUAUCUUGUAGUCUAUUUGGUCAGAAAGAAAAUCCAAUAAAUAAAUAAUACUUUGAUUUUCGGUUUUUCGAUUUUCGACAGUAGAAAACGACUGUUGUGAAAAUACAGGCCACCAUUCAUCGAACUUCGGAGGACCAUGGGGAGUCCCACGAGGAUCUGUUUGAAAACUUUCUUACUGUGAUCGCACAAUACUGUGUUUUAACAUAAUUGUGAUUUUGUUUCAGAAUUUAGAAUUAUAUGUUACUAGUUGUAUAGUGACCUUGUACGAGAAUACUUAACGCUCUUUCCAUUUGUAUCUUUCUUCAGUAAUCAGCAUAAAUAAUGAUCUGCCUAAAUUGUUGAAUCAGAUAACAUUGUUUUUCUGAAAAACUUUGAAACAUGGUUCUCAUUCCGAUCCCUCUGUUUUUUACUAUUAUUUAACGUUUUGAUUUUUGACACACAUUUUUAGGUAAGUUGACCGGAUAGUAAAAUUAUUAUUUUUGAUUGAUUUUUUUUUUUGAAUUAAAAUUUUGAUUACGUAUUUUUAUUCGAAAAAAAAAUUUUAAAAAUAAUAUUUUAAACUACUCGGUCAAAGACCUUAAAAGUACGUGCCUAAAGAGUAAAGGUAAAACGUCAAAUAUUAAAAAACAGAGGGAGUAAUAAAAUAAUCUAAUGUAAUGCAAUGAAAAGAAGGGUCAUUAUAAUUUAAAUUAGUUUCAUUUUUUAUUUUUUAUUCUGAACUAAUAAUAUUUAUAUUUCUAUGCAACUCCCUGAAAUUAGUUAUACUAUUAGUGUCAAGCAAAUAUCAAAAUAUAAUUGGAAUUUUGAAGGGAAGCUCUUUUUUUUUUUUUAAGGGAGAAAACUAUGUUCUUAAAACAAAAAAACGAUAAAAAGAAAUAAUAAAUCAUAUAAAUAGAAACAUUAGAAGCUGCUGUCUCAUAAACCCCAAAAGCAAACCCUUAUUUACAUCAUCAAUCGAGAGAGAGAGAGAGAGAGAUCGAGAGAGAGAGAUGGGAAAAGCCAGGGAGAGAGAGCAGCUGAACCGGAUUCUUGGUGAGCAUCUCAAUAUCAUUCACGAAACUCUUCAGGUGCUUCUAUUUAUAUUACACUAGUACAUACUCUGUCUAUGUAUAAUCAUACCUUUGUAUUUAUGAAUUUUACCUGUCUGAACCUGGGGUCUGUUUGGUUUGUUGUAUUCAGG
rnacentral:lncRNA from 1 species